CGCGGGCGGGGACUCGCAAACUCCAGUGUCCUUGGCCGCGGCCGAUCGCGCCCUGCCCCGCCCGGCCCACUGCGGCCGCGAGUUCUUUACAACUCUGCAGUCCGCCGCCGCGGGCGCGACUCUCGGACUGCCCCGGGGCUGGCCUCAGGCCCUGGCGACCCGAGCAGGGGUGGGAGUGGGGGCGCAGAAGGGAGGCCCAGGGCCCGGCGCCCCACACUUUGCCAGUGACUGCUCGGACUGUGCGCCGCGUGCUCCGACCGCCUCCGGGCCAGGCCAGGUUAGGGCCGGCGGGGUCGAAGUACGAGGAGCCUAGAGGUGACUCGACCCCCACCCAGGUCGCUCAAUUUUCCGGGUAAAGAAGCAGAAGUGUGAGAAAGGGGCCGCCUCGAGGCGGCGGAGGGGGUCGCACGCGGGGCGGAGCAGGGUGGGGAUGGGACUGGGGGCUCUGUCUAGGGCACCGCUGCGUGGCCGCCCACAGCUGCUCCUGGGCCGCGGCGCCCGACUGGAGAAGGAGCGGAGGGAGGCGCUGCGGCCGUGGCGCGGGCGCACGAGCGCAGGGCUCUGGCGUUGGCCCGCAGCGCAGCCGCCCCUGGCGCUCCCUACCGUGGGCCCGGGGGUUUCGGAGCUGCCCUCGCACCAGCCGGCUGAGGCCGGGGGUCAGCGCCGUUGUGGCAAGUGCCCGCAGCCGGAUGUCAGGGCUGAGAGGAAGCAAAUGCGGCGCCGAGUCCAUCCUGACCCGCGGACACCCUUGAUUCCGGGGGGGAAAAGAUUCCCCACCGGCUUCUCACGCCAGCCCCAGCCCUCUGGACAGGAGCCGCGGAGCGCCGGCUGAGGUGCAGUGUGGCCGCCCGCAGAAGAGGGGGGCGAGGCAAAAGGAAGUCGGGGGAAACCCCUGGGCGCCCCAACCAGGUUUCCCGGCCGCUCUUCCCAUCACCUCCCCCACCCCGGGACCCAUCUCUCGGAGCCCCUUGUCCCCAUUCGAGGUCUGGGAUGUGACUAGGAACUUUGUGGAGCCCUCGCGCGGGCUGGCGGUAAAGACCGACCCGAUUGAGGCUGAGUCAUCCUCUCCCGACCGAGCGCAACUCGGGUGACCCUGGCAAGCCGCGCGCUCCUGACGUUGCCGAGUCUUCCAGCGCUCCAGCUGCCUAGGUUCUCCUUAUUUGCCUGCUUUUCUGCAGCAGGGCCCUUUCGUUCCACCCUGUCACCUGCCCUUGGCCUCUGCACCCUCAGGUUGCAGGGAAGUAAGGGUGGGCUCCAGCCUCCUCCGAGUGGUGUUGGGCUACGAUCCAGGCCGGCUUGCCUGCCCAGCAGUCCCUGAAAAAAGUUAACCCAGCGGAUAUUAGGAUUGAUAUCAGAGUUGGCUGCAAGGGGCAAAGGACCACCGAGGGCCAUAGGAGCUUUUUCCAAGUGUCAGCAGACCCUGGGCUCUGGUGGGCUUUGGCAAGUCGCGCUCGCACCUAGGGGAGCAGCGCAGGGAACAGGCUGCACGGGGGGAAACGCCAGGUGCGCUCCGCCCACGGCAAUGUCUACAAUCUCUUCGGAUGACUAACCGGUUAUAAUGAAUUCUCCGCUUCUGUGCACACCUCCCGCCUCUGAAAACGUGCCAGUCCUUCCCAAGCCGAGCCAAGCACGGCCUGACCCCAGGGCAAGCGGUCCGGAAGGCUUUAACACUCAAAUUGGGGGCUGCAAGAAAAUGAACUUUCCUGUCAGAAUGCAAGAACCUUCUUUCUAAAUGAAUAUGUGAGUGAAUGAACGGGUACUCGUGCUAGCCCUUAUUUGUAAGACUUCAUCCGUUUCUCUGUGGUGUCUACAUAAACAGCCCUUCAUGCACUCACCCGUUGUUCAUCCGCUCAAUAAUGAUCUUUUACAUGACAGGCACGGUUGGACAUGCUGGGAAACUAGAGGUGAACAAAUCAGGCGAUGUGGUGGUUGCAAACUAGGAGGGCAACGGGCUGUACCCCAAAAGGCAUAAUGAUGACUGCAUAAUAAUACACUUUGACCAGCCACCAGCAAUAGUGUACAUGAAGAAAAAGUGCCAGUGACACUCUUACUAUUGUUAUACGUAUUAACUGAUGAAAAAAAAUGUAGGCACAGAGAAAUGAUACAGCUUAGUCAUGCUUAAACAACCACCUGACUGCUGGAGUACACUGAAGGCCAGUGGACACCAAGGUCAUGACAUUUGAUAAUGAAGUCAUUAUGCUCUGCCAGCCUGAACAGGGGAACUCUGAAGUUGUUUCAGAGCAACUAAAGUGUAAGAGAAAGGAGCCUGGGCACAGGAGUUGCAGCUCCAGGAGUCUAGUAUUUUGAGCAUUUAUAACGGUUACACACAGUCCAUCUUAGGCAGAACAUGAUUUGCAUAACGUUUAAUAUGGAUCGCACAAAAUGUCUCCUACUAUAUCAAAUUUUUUAAAAUUUAUCUGAUAUCUAAAAUUUUCAGAACUCGAAGUGUUGCGGAGAUUUGGGGUCCUACCACUUGUAUAUAAUCUGUCAUUUCUUUCAGAAUCACAAAAAUCAGUGUAGAAAGGGAUCUCUAAGCUACCUGGUCCUAGACUCUUAUUUAACAGAGGACAGUGAAGCUGGAAUUUAGUCGCUAGUCCAAAAACACACAGCUGCUUAAAGAAGGUGACCACCUGAUUUCAGGUCAGGGGGUUCAUAUAGCCACAGCCAAGAGCACCCUCCAGUAUACCAAAUGCAGCAUCAUGCAUCAGACCCUAUUUGCCAUCUUCACCCAGAAGCAUAUAUUCCCACACCCAGCUCUCAGUAGAACCUGAAUCCAGCCAAAUGAAACUUUGGCUGACCAGUACACCCCAUUCCCAAUCCAGCCAAUGAUGAUACACUGGCUGGUGGGGUUUGAACAGAAAUGAAAGAUGAAACAGGUGAAUGUUUUAAAAAUGUUCACCUGGUCCCAAGGUAUGAAACGGAUUCCCCAGGAAGAGCCCCUUCCACCCCCAGCAAUUCUCAGGGAAGAAGAGCACUGCCCCUGCCCCAGGGGCAUAUUGAGCAGUUGGGGCUUCCGUUUGCCAUAACAACUAGGGAUUGUACUGGCAUUUAGUGGUUAGGGG
rnacentral:lncRNA from 1 species